AACGAACGCUGGCGGCAUGCCUAACACAUGCAAGUCGAACGAUGACUUCGGGCAUAGUGGCGCACGGGUGCGGAACGCGUGGGAAGCUGCAUUUGGGGUCGGAAUAACUCAGGGAAACUGGAGAUAAUACCGGAUAACGUCGAAAGACCAAAGAUUUAUCACCGAAAGAUGAGCCAGCGUAGUAUUAGCUAGUGGGUGAGGUAAAGGCUCACGAAGGCGACGAUCCUAGCUGGUCUGAGGGGAUGAUCAGCCAAACUGGGACUGAGAAACGGACCAGACUCCUACGGGAGGCAGCAGUGGGGAAUAUUGCACAAUGGCCGAAAGCCUGAUCCAGCUCUGCCGCGUGAGUGAUGAAGUCCUUAGGGUUGUAAAGCUCUUUUACCCGGGAAGAUAAUGACGGUACCGGGAGAAUAAGCCCCGGCUAACUCCGUG
rnacentral:rRNA from 1 species